rnacentral:lncRNA from 1 species
CAGGACCUGAGCUACAGGCAGUUAGAUUUGGGUCAUUUUAGGGAAAAUUGAAGAAAAGGGCAGAUUCUCUUAAGAGGUUUUAAAAUAUGAUGAAAAGAAACAUGACUGUAAAUAAUUAUUACAAACUUUCAAACGAUAGUAACUUCUUGGCAGGGAAAAAACACAUUUCAAUAAGGUGGGUUUUGACACUCUUAAGUAGGUGUCAUAAUCAGCCAUAAAAUAACACAAUAUAUGUCACAGCAGGUGAUGAUAGGUCAUGAGAGUGUAUGACCAUAUUAUGACAGGUUAUGAUAAGUUGUCAGCUGUUAUGACAUAUUGUGACAUGGUCAUAACAAAGUCAUAGCAUGCUAUGACACGUGUCAAAUAAAUUGUUACCAUUGGGGUCAAUCCCAUGUCAAUUCAGUCAAUUCAGAAAGUAAACCAAAUUCCAAUUCUACAUUUUCACUCAUUGAAAAGGUUUGAAGAUAAUUGGAAUUAGAAUUUCAAUCUACUUCCUGAAUUGAGUGGAAUUGAAAUGGAACAACUUGCUUGUGGUUGACCUCAUUCUUAUUCAGCUCCUGCUGCUGAUGUGCAGAAGGUGAAUGAAACCUCAGUGAGGUUUGAAAUAUAACUAUUUAAAGUGAAACUAACACAUUUAAAGGAGACCUAACAAACCAAUCAAUAACAUUGGAUUUUUAAACUUUUAGAAAUGUUUAAACUUUUAGAAAUGUUUUUAGAUUGUUAAACAGAGCAACGAAAAGUUAUGAAUGAGACCAUACCUGCUACAGACCAGAGAAAGACCACCAACACACUUCCUGCUGUUCUCAAGGCAAUUGUUGCAUCUCCCACCCUGCAGUCUUAGAAACAUAAACAACAACUCACUCUAUAGCUGCAGUGAGGAUGCAGUGAUGCCAACCCACCUGUGGACAAAUACACCUGGUACAAGAKGAAUGUAAUCUCAGCAUAAGCAUCAGGACAGAGUUACAGCAUCACUAACAUCAUCUCUGAAAACAGAGGAGAAUACUACUGUGAGGCCCAGAAUGGAAGAGGAUCUAUGAACUCUACAGCUCUGAUGAUCAUUGUAGCAGGUAAAGUUACAUCUUCAAUACUUCUAUACAAAACUACAAGUUUCAAGCUYAUCUUAAUCAUUGUGUUUUGACUGAUUACACUUUGGUUCAUAAUUAUGUGUUGGCUUGGAUCCCUUGACAAGUAGUA